AUUGUGAUACCAUGAGGUCGUGAUACCAUGAGGUCCUAUUACCAUGAGGUCCUAUUGUGAUACCAUGAGGUCCUAUUGUGAUACCAUGAGGUCCUAUUGUGAUACCAUUUGGUCCUAUUGUGAUACCAUGUGAUGCCAUGUCAUACCAUGUGAUACAUGUCAUAGCUAUGUGGUCCCAUUGUAAUACCAUGUCAUACCAUGUGAUACCAUGUCAUACCGUGAAUACCAUGUGAGGGAG